UGAAGUCACUCUUCUAGAAACUGGGC
rnacentral:piRNA from 1 species